rnacentral:tRNA from 1 species
GCUAGCGUAGCUCAGUUGGCAGAGCAGCGGUUUCGUAAACCGCAGGUCGUGGGUUCGAGCCCCACCGCUAGCUCCA